GCAGUGGCGACGUGCUGUUAUGGCCCGGUGCUGAAUGAUUUCUUCGUGUUUACAGGAUUACCUGCAUCACUACUGACGCGCAACGCAACAUAUCAAGAGACCGGAACCACACUUCUGGAAACUACCGAGAAGAUUACACCAAUCAACGUGACCCCUACGUCACCACGAAACGCCUACAAAAGGAGCCUGACAUCGAUGGAACAGACCACACUUACUCGGCAGCAGUGGCGACGUGCUGUUAUGGCCCGGUGCUGAAUGAUUUCUUCGUGUUUACAGGAUUACCUGCAUCACUACUGACGCGCAACGCAACAUAUCAAGAGACCGGAACCACACUUCUGGAAACUACCGAGAAGAUUACACCAAUCAACGUGACCCCUACGUCACCAUGAAAUGCCUACAAAAGGAGCCUGACAUCGAUGGAACAGACCACACUUACUCGGCAGCAGUGGCGACGUGCUGUUAUGGCCCGGUGCUGAAUGAUUUCUUCGUGUUUACAGCUCGCCCCAUCUUAUCAAACGUGCUCAUUGUUCUUGGCACGUCAGCGACGAUGACGCUACUGUCCGUCAACGGAUCGAUUCGUGCAUUGGUCUCAGUAGACCACCUGCAGUGUUGCUGUGUCCGGCUGCUUACCAGAUCUUCAUCCAACCAACCCUGGCAGCAUCCCUCGAUGCAGAAAUAGAAUACGAACCGCCAAUGACAUCAACUCAUCAAGCUGAAAGAGCAGGCGCUGCUGGAGGCACUUGGUGUGCCCUUGCUGUGCGUCAACACAGCGUGCUAAAUCACUCAUGUUCCCAAUGCAGCCCUACAAGUUGUUCCUAGUUUUUUUUGUG